CCGAAGAUUAACGAACCGGUCCGACCGGGCUUCGUUCCCAAGAAUCGCUGUGCACAACUGAAUAGUAAACAAUGCCAACGUUGAUAGUAAGGGUUCAAGCGGGUAUUCGCAUUAACCUCCAUUAUGCUAAGUGUAUUCAAUUCCCGGUAAAAUAACUCGCCUUUUCUGUAAGCGCUGUACAAUAUUGUGAUCGUUGUUUUCAGUAUACGGCCACAAUAUUUGCCAGGGUCUUCCUGUAACCAGAGAAACACAAUUUUCAUGACCUAUAAUCUUUUGGUCUCCCCUGACUGAUAUUCCUGGACCUGUUUUCGAGACUGCAAUGCUUCUGUGAUAAGCCCAGCAUUCGGCGCUUUUGUCGGUCGGCAGGAUCCAGACCGGUGCGAUGCAAAACACAGCAAAGUACCGUUGCUCUAGAUACAUAUUUAAUAUUCACAGCAUGGCUAAGCACAUUUUAUGAGUGUUAAAGUUCUGUGAAGAUGGUAUGUAUUCAGCUUAUUUGUAUUAACCACUUUUUAAUUUAGAAAUCAUUUUCAAAUGUGGUGGCUAUUUUUACGGAAGCCGUAACGUGUUUUUCAAUAGCUAUAUAGUUACAGAAUUGCAGCGCAACAUUGCAAAAGUGAGACUUUAAAUUCCAAAAGCAAUUGAGGUACAUGUACUUUGGUAGCUUUAUAGGAUGAUGCCGUGCAUUUUGAUUGCUGAAGGUGUGGGUUCAAAUCUCAGUGAGAACUUUUUUUUAAGUUUCCCAAAAUAUAUAUAUUUUCUUAUUUUCAAGGUUUUUAAUCAAAUCCUACUUUGUGUUGAAGCUGAUUUAACUGUACUUUCUGAUUCAUGGCUCUGUCUGGAUGAUUUUUUUUAAAGGGAAGUAAAUCCGAGAACCAUUCUGUUGACAACUGAUGCAUGCAAACAAUUAAUUGUUGACUUCCGUAAAAAUAGCAAGAGCAUUUGUUAAAAAAAUUAAAUUACUUAAUAGAAAAUAAUGUACUUGAUUUUCUGUGGAAUGGAUUAUGGAUUGUACCUUUUUUGAUGGAUAAAGGUGAUUCUAUUGUCAUAUAUUGUAACUAUUUAAGAAUUAUACAAACUGGGAAACAAAAUAUUGUUAG